rnacentral:lncRNA from 1 species
CAGUUCAGACCAUGUUGUCUCAUGGUCUCUUACCGUGCAGUUUGUCCCUUCGGAGAUCUUCAUGCACCAAGCCAUCCACACCAUUGAGUUCUGCCUGGGCUGCAUCUCCAACACAGCCUCCUACUUGCGUCUCUGGGCCCUGAGCCUGGCUCAUGCUCGUGAGUGACCUUUCUCUCAGGGCCUCAAUAGCCUACCUAGUCAAAUGGGGCUGUCCUACAGAGAUGCCUCAGCAGUUCUAGGGGCAAGGAUUCAGGAAUGCUGUUGGGGUGGGGGCGUGACAGGCAUUCCUUCACCCUUGACCUCAAUAGACCUCACUAGCCCCUAUUUGUGUGCAGAGCUGUCUGAGGUCCUGUGGGCCAUGGUGAUGCGCAUAGGCCUAGGCAUGGGCCGAGAGAUUGGUGUGGCAUCUGUGGUGCUGGUCCCUGUGUUUGCUGCCUUUGCUGUGUUGACUGUGGCCAUCUUGCUAGUGAUGGAGGGGCUCUCAGCCUUCCUACAUGCCCUGCGGUUGCACUGGGUGGAGUUCCAGAACAAGUUCUAUUCAGGGACCGGCUACAAGCUCAGCCCCUUCGCCUUCACUGUGGACAGUGACUAGCACCUACUUCGAUUCCUGCUUCUUCAAAAUGGGACAGGAAUAAAAAGCUGGCUGGCCCAGG